ACUCAAAGGAAUAGACGGGGACCCGCACAAGCAGUGGAGCAUGUGGUUUAAUUCGAUGCAACGCGAAGAACCUUACCCAGACUUGACAUGCAGAGGAAGUUACUAGAAAUAGUAACGCCCUUCGGGGCUUCUGCACAGGUGCUGCAUGGCUGUCGUCAGCUCGUGCCGUGAGGUGUUGGGUUAAGUCCCGCAACGAGCGCAACCCUUAUCGUUAGUUGCCAACAGGUAAUGCUGGGAACUCUAGCGAGACUGCCUGGGUUAACCAGGAGGAAGGUGAGGAUGACGUCAAGUCCGCAUGGCCCUUAUGUCUGGGGCUACACACGUGCUACAAUGGUCGGUACAGAAGGCAGCGAAACCGCGAGGUGAAGCAAAUCCCAAAAAACCGGCCCCAGUUCAGAUUGUAGUCUGCAACUCGACUACAUGAAGAUGGAAUUGCUAGUAAUGGCAGGUCAGCAACACUGCCGUGAAUACGUUCCCGGGUCUUGUACACACCGCCCGU
rnacentral:rRNA from 1 species